rnacentral:rRNA from 1 species
GACGAACGCUGGCGGCGUGCCUAAUACAUGCAAGUAGAACGCUGAAGGAGGAGCUUGCUCUUCUGGAUGAGUUGCGAACGGGUGAGUAACGCGUAGGUAACCUGCCUGGUAGCGGGGGAUAACUAUUGGAAACGAUAGCUAAUACCGCAUAACAGUAGAUGUUGCAUGACAUUUGCUUAAAAGGUGCAAUUGCACCACUACCAGAUGGACCUGCGUUGUAUUAGCUAGUUGGUGGGGUAACGGCUCACCAAGGCGACGAUACAUAGCCGACCUGAGAGGGUGAUCGGCCACACUGGGACUGAGACACGGCCCAGACUCCUACGGGAGGCAGCAGUAGGGAAUCUUCGGCAAUGGACGGAAGUCUGACCGAGCAACGCCGCGUGAGUGAAGAAGGUUUUCGGAUCGUAAAGCUCUGUUGUAAGAGAAGAACGAGUGUGAGAGUGGAAAGUUCACACUGUGACGGUAGCUUACCAGAAAGAGACGGCUAACUACGUG